rnacentral:rRNA from 1 species
UACGAAGGGUGCAAGCGUUGCUCGGAAUUAUUGGGCGUAAAGGGUAGGUAGGUGGUAAUAAAAGUCUGGGGUGAAAUCCCUGAGCUCAACUCAGGACGUGCCUUGGAAACUUUAUUACUAGAGUGCUGGAGAGGUCCGCAGAAUUCCCGGUGUAGCGGUGAAAUGCGUAGAGAUCGGGAGGAAUACCAGGGGCGAAGGCGGCGGACUGGACAGUCACUGACACUCAACUACGAAAGCGUGGGUAGCAAACAGG